rnacentral:rRNA from 1 species
GUAGGGAAUCUUCCACAAUGGACGAAAGUCUGAUGGAGCAAUGCCGCGUGAGUGAAGAAGGUUUUCGGAUCGUAAAACUCUGUUGUGAGGGAAGAACAAGUACGGGAGUAACUGCCCGUACCUUGACGGUACCUCAUUAGAAAGCCACGGCUAACUACGUGCCAGCAGCCGCGGUAAUACGUAGGUGGCAAGCGUUGUCCGGAAUUAUUGGGCGUAAAGCGCGCGCAGGCGGCCUUUUAAGUCUGAUGUGAAAGCCCACGGCUCAACCGUGGAAGGUCAUUGGAAACUGAAAGGCUUGAGUACAGAAGAGGAAAGCGGAAUUCCACGUGUAGCGGUGAAAUGCGUAGAGAUGUGGAGGAACACCAGUGGCGAAGGCGGCUUUCUGGUCUGUAACUGACGCUGAGGCGCGAAAGCGUGGGGAGCAAACAGG